UUGAGCCGUAUUAUGGAAAACUAUCACGUACGGUUCUUAGGGGGUAAUAGGGCCGCAAGGCCCAUGCCUACCCAAU
rnacentral:ncRNA from 1 species